GCGGCAAAGGCUCUGGCCCUCUUACAGAGUACCUUCCCUGUUGGAAUACCGUCCCUCCCUGUUUCCUUCCUCCCAAGGGAGGACUCAGUGUCACUAUAAGGAGGGGGCUUCCCAACUAGAGGAUGUCAGACCCUGUUCCACAGGCCUCUUGCUUACCUGAGAAGGGAGGCCCCUGUGUUUCAGGAACCCCAGGGUGCUGAGGAUCACUCUAGUCCCUCACAGUCCCAGCUCUGAGCUCAGAGUCAUCUCCAGGACAAACGCUCAACCAGCCCCAAGUGGAACAUAUUGUUUCCAAUAGUGGGCACACCCUCCUUGCAUCCCCUCCACAGGGCCGUGACUGGCCAUGCUCACUGUCCCAGCUCCAACAACAGAGAAUCCUGGGAGGCCUGAAACCCUGGCACGCAGCUGCAGUUCCCUGGAGCCUCUUUAGAAAACGCAGCCGGCCUUGUUUCCUUCUCAUAAACAGCGACUGAGCACAGCAUCAGGCCCCAGGGGAGACUGUUCCCCCAAAGCUGCUGCCAUUGGAGAUGCAGGAAGGGGGGACAAGUGGGCCCAAGAGGAACCAGAUGAUUCUGGAUCAUGUCAGGAGGAGCAGGAGGGAUGCCAUUCUAGAUGUCUGGUUCAGUGAGACAGAGAUUUCAACCUGGAUCCUGGUGUGACCGCGUAAAACAACUAGUGCAUGUGGAAUACAUAGCAGGCAUGUUACAUGCUGUGCACAUGCACUCAAGGCCCCUGAUGCUGCCCUGCCAACCUAUUAUUUUCUCCACUGUGCAGAUGCUUGAAGUGGAGAUUAAAGUUUUGCUGGCUUCACAAAAUGACUUAAAAAGAUGUCCCCCCUUUUCUAGGACACAAAAGCUUUUUGUUGUUGUUUUGUUGUUGUUUUUUGUUUUCGAGACAGGGUUUCUCUGUAUAGCCCUGGCUGUCCUGGAACUCACUUUGUAGACCAGGCUGGCCUCCAACUCAGAAAUCUACCUGCCUCUGCCUCCCGAGUGCUGGGAUUAAAGGCGUGUGCCACCAUGCCAGGCAGGAUACAAAAGAUUUAAACAUAAAUUAAUUCUUCCCUCCCUCCCUCCCUCCCUCCC
rnacentral:lncRNA from 1 species